rnacentral:tRNA from 1 species
AAGAUGCUAGUAAUAAAAAUUACACCGCCUUGUCAAGGCGGAGUUGUGGGUUAAAACCCCGCGCACCUUG